GGGUCUGUAGCUUAACUGGGAAAGCGUCUGCCUUGCAAGCAGAAAGAUGUCGGUUUCAACUCCGACCAGAAUCCACCA
rnacentral:tRNA from 2 species